CAGCAGUAUAGGAUUGUAAGACAUGUUCAAGAAACCAGGCAUCUAUGAUUUCAGGUUGGAAGCUCCGCAGUCCAGAAAAAACCUAUUACAGGCCGGAUGGCAAAGGAGUGUAUGCAGUGCUUCCUUCAACUCCUGUGCCAAUUCAUUUGUGAAGCUCCACACCCUCCUUCCUAUAUGGUAAAACAAUCUGUGAAAGGCAAGGACAAAAUAUGACAGUAACAUCAAGAGAGAAGAAAAGAUGCACCGCCACCAUGAGCCUCCCUCCUACAGCUUCCCGCACUACGCUACUUCCGCCCUUCCUCCGUCCACUGCUAAUGACAUCAUCAUUCCCAUCUUACACCACGGUUCCUUCCCAGCAUUCCUCCACUUCCGGACCCUCCUCC